rnacentral:rRNA from 1 species
CGGGACGGGGUGGAGUAAUGUCUGGGAAACUGCCUGAUGGAGGGGGGUAACUACUGGAAACGGUAGCUAAUACCGCAUAACGUCGCAAGACCAAAGAGGGGACCUUCGGGCCUCUUGCCAUCGGAUGUGCCCAGAUGGGAUUAGCUAGUAGGUGGGGUAACGGCUCACCUAGGCGACGAUCCCUAGCUGGUCUGAGAGGAUGACCAGCCACACUGGAACUGAGACACGGUCCAG